UGUCCUGGCACGCCAGUUGGCAGUUGGACUCAGUGGCAAAUGGCAGCAGUCGCAACAGCAGCUAACCAGUAGGAAUACCUAAAAAACUUACCCUUGUACCGAGAAAAAUACCAAAACACCGAUAAUGAACUAAGAGAGAGAAGAGGGUGGAAAGUACUCGAAAAUGGUGACAUAAGAUCGCAGUGGGACGAUGUCGCUGGGUCAAAAGAUCUACAAAAUCAAAAGUUAUACCCAAAGGUUUUGCCUGAUAUUUGCGAUCAAAUUGCGCAAGGACUCGCCGCAAGGACACGCGAGACUCUAAUUGGGCUGCUAUCGGAAACCCCGAUCAUUUGUAUAAAUUUUAUUUGCCAAGGUGAGUUAAAGCCAAGUUC